GCAACGCCUGCCACCCUGCUGGAGCCACUCUUCAACUUCAUCAUGACGGAUCUGAGGAGCAGACAGUCAGUACGGGUCAGGGGAGUCAAUGCGGGUACAAAUACGGGUCAGACAUGGGUCUGAAAAGGGGUUCGAGUUUCUUUCCUCACGGUCAGACAGUCAGUGUCGGUAGAUGAGGCCCAGAAGACUGAAAGCAAGAUUAACCACCAUAAAGAUGAACGACUCCCUCUGCAGGGUGAGACAUGUUAACCGUACCUGGUAAAGAGCCGUUGCUCCAAGAUGACCAUAUAAGGAGGAUUGGGACCAGAGCUCAGGACCCAGUCCAGGUUUUCCUCCGACUCCAGCACAUGGAGCACACCCACAUUACCUGACAUAGAGGCUGAAAUAAUGAAGAGGAAAUUAAAUAUCAUCAUCUGUGACACAAGCUUCUGGGAUGAAACGUUUAGAUGCAGCAAAGACAAAACUGCUGCUGCUGCGGCUUUUGUAGAAUGACAACAGUUCACACUACGUUCAGCAGCUUUUGAAAAACACUGACUUUUUUUUACAGGCAGUGUCUGUUUUUAUCUGAAUCUUGCAGCUUUUGAUCGUCUUUGAAAAUUUGUCUCUCACUCUCAAAGCCACAGAAUUGAUUUUAGCAUCUCCACACUUGAACUGCCUGGAGCUUCCACAAAGAAAACUCUUUAAAAAACACUGCUUGUUGUGCACUAUGUAGUUUUUUUCUACAAAACAACAAGUGCAAGAAAGACACACAGAGGGCUCGAGGACACACACUGUGUAUUUAAGAUACUGCAAACUGCAACAAGUAGUCAAAUUCAUCUCUGACACUCAUUUUGAGCAGUAGGCAUCACUUUCAUCUGUUGCUUUACUCACACUGGCAGCCUAUUUGAUGUGUUGCAUUGAGCAGUCGCACACAUGGGACAGUGUAAUUGAGAUGCACAUAAAUCUUCUUUUCCACUGAAUUACAGCUGACACCUGCAAGGGAAAAAAAAAACACACUGUAACAACUGCAUAAGGAGAACAGAUUGAUAUUAGGGCAUAUUCGUGA